UUGAUGGAGAGUUUGAUCCUGGCUCAGGACGAACGCUGGCGGCGUGCUUAACACAUGCAAGUCGAGCG
rnacentral:rRNA from 1 species